CAUGUCUGUUGGAAUACAGCGGCAUAGUGGUGAUACCCCAUUACACGGUGCGGACGCCCAGCGCUUUGUGAUACACUUUCGACGAGUCGAGUUGUUUGGGAAUGCAGCUCAAAUUGGGUGGUAAAUUCCAUCUAAAGCUAAAUAUUGGCGAGAGACCGAUAGCGAACAAGUACCGUGAGGGAAAGAUGAAAAGCACUUUGGAAAGAGAGUUAAAAGUACGUGAAAUUGUUGGAAGGGAAACGCUUGAAGUCAGACUUGCUUGCCGGGCUUGCUCGGUUUGCAGGCCAGCAUCAAGAUUUUUCCGGGGCGGAUAAUGGCACGUUAGAAUGUAGGCAGUCUCGGCUGUGUUAUAGCUUUCUGCUGGAUACGUCCUGGGGGGACUGAGGACACGCAGCGUGCCGUAU
rnacentral:rRNA from 1 species